GUGCGUGACGUCAGGACAGCGGCGGAGCCGGCCAAACUCAAGUUGGUUCUGAGAAUUGUCAACAAAGGAACGAGGGACACGCAACUCUGCGCCGCACCGUGCGCUAGCAUCCCGCGGGUCCCGAGGGCGUCCCGGCACACCCCGAGACCCUAUCCUAGGCUGGAACCCAGCGCGGGGGUCGAGGGGGCCUGUGGGUCGUCAUCUGGGGUUCCCGAAGGUCAGAAAAUGGCUAUUGAUUAAUCUAUUGGAAUAGUUGCCGACAGAAAUAAAAAAAAGACGUAAAAUUACAGGGAACCUAUAAAUAAAGAAGCCGUAACUAGCUGCUCGGAGUUGUUAAACGACUUAGCAUGUGAAAAAGUCGGGAAUGAGGCGCUGGGGAAGGAGCCGGGAUUGGCAGCGGCCUGGGGCGUAGAUAAACUCUCCAAGAUUUAACUUCCGCAGAAACCAGCAGCAGAGGGGGCGGAGGAGGAGGCGAGGACGCGGCCGGUGCACACCGAGUUCCUCUGCCAAGGAAAGUCAGUGAUGGCCGCCUCCUUAUGAGCCACGAGUGCCUGCCAGGUGUGGUGGGCUCCUGAAACUCAAGCCCAGUCUGGCCGCUGAGGCCUGGAAGGGAAAUGCGGGCCUCUCCAGAGGAAGGAGCGCAAGUGGAAAUGGUCCGAGAGGAAAUAAUUAAUGAAAUAUUUACAGGAGACACUAGCUGCACCGCUUUGUGGCCCGCAGGCUCAGGACCGUUUACAAUACUAUGUAGACAGCCUCUCUCGAAACCGACCAGAGCGGCGAGCUGGCUGCCCACUGUCCCCCGGCAGCAGAGGUUCUGGCUGCAACUGUCCCCAGCAAGCUAAUAAUUACAACAGAAAGGUCGGAAGAACAAGAGAAAGAAACUGAAAUUCACAAAUUCAGAAAUUCCUUUUGCUCAGCUUUGGGUAUCUAGCGCCAGUAGCAGGUGCGGGCCGCAUCGGGAGCCCCAGAGCAUCCUAGGAGGCUGGGCUGGCGUGGGUGUGUGUGUGUGUG